GUACUGCUGAAGAGUCCCAAACUAGGACGAAACGGCUGUCCAUUAC
rnacentral:hammerhead_ribozyme from 1 species